CAGAGAAGGUGGAAGACGGGGCGACUGCUGCUGCAGCUCCAGUGAGAGGAGGACGGCAGUGCCCCUUCGAUGAUCGCCACAUUCACAGAGAAGAUCUGAGAAAGGUUUGGAAAGAAUGCCAAGAGGAAAGCUUCUGGUACAGAGGUAGGACACCCAUAUACUUCCCACUAAUUCAAUAGCAACAUGGGAGGCCACCAACUCUGUGUCUGACUUGGGUGUAUUCUUUGUUGUGUAAGUCGUCUGUAGUAGAAGCGGGGACGCAGGGUUCAUCAAUCAAUCUGCUGCUCACCUAAUGCUCCUUAUGUUUACAUUAUUCCCUGUGGAAUCCACAAAACACUCCCACAUGUGGACAAAGCAGUCGUUAUUACAGACAUUUCACAACUGCAUUGCUAUCUUGAUCAUGCUUGCUGUAUGUGUAUUUAUGCUUAUUUCUUCUCAUUUUGUAGGGAAUCAGUGAAGCACUACGACUUGACAGGUCUGACUGAAUAGAUCUUGUUUUAGGUUUGGGUCCUGAAAUGGCCCAUACCUAUAGAUUACACCUAUAAACCAACCUAGACACUGAAAGAAAAAGGAGCUGCUCCAACAAGUGUAUCUAAACUAACAACAAACUGAAGGAUGUUUCAGUUAUUCACACCCUCACAGCUCUAAUGCAGCUGUGAGCAUAAAGUCACCACAACCAAAGUGAUAAAAGCUGCUGUGUACGGCGUGCACGACAGAAAUUAGGUUGUGAGCAUGAACUGCAGUGGCUAGCUCGGCUGAUCACCUGAGAUUAAGAUUCCACAAUCUGAAAAUGUGUUUUCUGUGAUAACACUUGAUUGUCUUGAGCCCCCGGCUUGGAGCGUUCAUUCACUGCCAGCCAUGCAGCUGCUGCUCGUGUUCUCUCAUCGGGCAGCUAUGUAAACAUGAAACGGCAACAGUCAGUGCUUCCUGUGUUCGUCCUUUCCCUUGAAUUCGUCUGACAAAUCGAGUGUCUCUUUUUCACAGGUCAAAGUUCAGUCAGAACUCAAAGAAUCCAUUACAGGAAGUGAAUACACAGCACACCUUGGUGCAUUUACCAUUCGUUUUACAGUGACAUAAAGUGUUAGCACUCAAAGUAAACAGUGAAUGGAAAGUUUUCUUUUCCCUAUUUCCUAUUUUCCUCUUUGACAGAUUGUAGUGCAGAGGAUCUAACUUUGUUCAGAUUUUACUGAAGUAUGUCUCCAUCUGUCUUUCACUGUAUGGUUCUGAUACAACUCCAGUUUGUUUUAUUUCUAUAUUUAGCUCUUCCUUUCUCCCUGGGUAGCAUGGCAGUCACUGGGGGUCUCAUCUACAGAGGUAUUUGGAAGACAUCAAAGGUACUUGGUCCCUUUCCGAAACUAGCAGCUGCGGGGAUCUUUGGUUAUGCAGUGGGGAAAGCAUCAUACGUUGGA